rnacentral:rRNA from 1 species
CCAUCCGCGUGAGUGAAGAAGCCUCGGGUUGUAAAGCUCUUUCGCAAGGGAAGAAAACUUAUGAUCCAAUAAAUCAUGAGGUUGACGGUACCUUGAUAAGAAGCACCGGCUAACUACGUGCCAGCAGCCGCGGUAAUACGUAGGGUGCGAGCGUUAAUCGGAAUUACUGGGCGUAAAGCGUGCGCAGGCGGUUUUGUAAGUCGGAUGUGAAAUCCCCGGGCUCAACCUGGGAACUGCGCUCGAAACUGCAAGGCUAGAGUGUGUCAGAGGGGGGUAGAAUUCCACGUGUAGCAGUGAAAUGCGUAGAGAUGUGGAGGAAUACCAAUGGCGAAGGCAGCCCCCUGGGAUAACACUGACGCUCAUGCACGAAAGCGUGGGGAGCAAACAGGAUUAGAUACCCUGGUAGUCCACGCCCUAAACGAUGUCAACUAGUUGUCGGUAGAGUAAAAUCUAUGAGUAACGUAGCUAACGCGUGAAGUUGAC